GACGAACGCUGACGGUGUGCUUUAGACAUGCAAGUCGAACGAGAAAGCCUUUCGGGGUUAGUAAAGUGGCGAACGGGUGAGUAACACGUGGGCAAUCUGCCCCUCGCAGGGGGACAACCGGAGGAAACUCCGGCUAAUACCCCGUAAGUUCAAAGGGAGGCAUCUCUCUUCGAAGAAAGGUAGCUUCGGCCAUCCGGCGAGGGAUGAGCCCGCGGUGCAUUAGCUAGUUGGUGGGGUAACGGCCUACCAAGGCGACGAUGCAUAGCUGGUCUGAGAGGUGAUCAGCCACACUGGGACUGAGACACGGCCCAGACUCCUACGGGAGGCAGCAGUCGGGAAUCUUGCGCAAUGGGCGAAAGCCUGACGCAGCAACACCGUGU
rnacentral:rRNA from 1 species